AGCGCUUCUCGCUCUUGGGGCUAAGAUCCAAAGUGAUCGUGGAUCUGUUCUGUAUCAGCUUCUAAUAUCUGAUACGGUCCUCCAUUGGGGGGACAUCGAUAUAAACUGAUUUGAAAGGGGGUGAGGUGGCCCGGGGUGCUCCGCCAUCACCACGGUUGACCCGGUAUUGCAGUAGCCGGGACAUGGCCCACCACU